GGCGUCGGGGUGGUAGCGCACGAACACGCCGAAGAGGACCACCAUGGUCACCUGCAGCAGCAGGCAGAUGAGCGGCAGCCGCCAGCGAAGAGAUUUUGGGAAAAUACAGAGAUGCACAAAGAAGGAAGUAAAAUCCAACUGUAAUCCCACCACCCAGAAGGAACACUGAUAUUUUGGGAUGGAGAUUGUAGCUACAUCCUGCAGAUGCAAAAACAGAGCCCUCAGCUGAUCCCAGGAACUUACCAAGAUUCAGACCCUGGGCUGUCUGAUUUCAAAGGCUGUCGUCUUUCCAACAUCCCAGUCCAACCAGGACUAGAGGAGGUUUGAAUUCAAAUGUGUACCUUGUCUAUUGGGGGCAGACAUCUAAGUGUAUGGCCAUGGGAGUCCGUGGAGGGUAGGAACACGGAGCUGGGUGGGGGAGGCCGCUGCAUGUAGAUCCAUGGGCCUCUGCAUCCCACUGAGUUACAGGACAUUUAUGGGGGAGGGAGGCUGCAAUGGCACAGUCCCUGAGACCUGGUCUGGGAGGGGAGGUGACCACCUUAGGGACAGGAAGAGAGAAGUCAAGCUCCUUGGAAGAGCACCAGGCCAGCCCAGCAGGCCACCCACCUCAGGCGAGCCCCAAGUGUGUUCUGAUGGGGUGCAGGAGGCUGCAGCAGGGGAGGCAGGGCUGAGGGGAUGGCCCUGGGCCCUUCUCCACUUUCUCCCGCCCCAAUCUCUACAUCCCUCAUCCCUCUUUCCUCCCAGCACGAUUGCCCUGCCCUUGCCUUCCCUGUUUAUCUGUCCAGGAUCUUCUUCCUACACCACAAGUUCAGCCCCAAAGAGCGAGAGCAAUGAGAAGAGAACCUAGCUUAAGAGAGUUGCUUAUUCAUUAUUUUUACAAAUGAAGGGGUGAAUGCUUCCUAUUUAUCUUGCUAAUCCAACCAUGCACAGCUCAGUAUGAGGAGUAAAUAGCUGUACAAAGACGCCCUGCCCCUGCACUGUGGAUACUUCAGAAGAGGAAGCCAAGUUGGGCCCCCUGCACAACAGCUCUGCACAGCUUCCUGGUUUGCUGUGGCCCUCAAAGGAGGCCACAUUGCAUGGUGAUGAGCACUUGAUUCAGAGGUUAAUGGGGCCCUGGUGGAAGUCCCAGCCCUGUUACUUCCUGCUGAGCAACCUCAGGCAAGCUGCUGCGUCUUUCUGGAUGUCUCUUUCCCCAUCCAUACAAUGAGGGUGGCAGUAGUCUGUGAUGGCUCUGGUGUAUGCAUGCUUUCUUCUGUUUUAUCUUGUCCCCCUCCAUACUGGAUAUUGAACCCU